GAGAUGCGGCCGUGCUGUAUGUCAUCCGUGGAUCCUCCAGGUGAUCAUGCCAUCGCAGGAUCCUUCCACUGCAUGCACUGGUGAUCCUUAAACCCAGGAGGUCUACAGACGCUCAUGGCGAUCCACUCGCGGCGUGCCAUUGGAUCCCGGUGCAACAAAGAAGCUUUGUGCGGCCGCUUCCCCCGCGUUCCUGUUGUGAAACAAUGAGAGAAGUUUACACCCCGAAAAAAAUGUCCAAAACAACAUUUAAUGAACAGAUGCACGAUGUGAUCUAACAGCAGAUCUCCAGCAGGGGUGGAUCUAUCAGGGACUAGAACCCACAACUCAACACACAUCCAAAUCUCCCUGUGUUUUCACAUGCGUAUUCAUCUCCUUUCAAUUAAAGUUGCCCUCCAAUAGGGUGGUCUACAGCCCACACUAGAUCCUGUAGGCUGGGUAUUGGAAAUGAUCUGGCAGGGGUCUGGUUGGGAUUAAGCACCAAUUUAAAGGCACACUAGGCCACUCAGGUACUUGUCAUCUCAAGACUGGACACGCUUCCAGAAUCUUCCCUAUUCUGGCACCAAAAAUGGUGGAAUGAACUUCCAUAUAAUGUCGGAAUGUCCGAGUCUUCAAACAAGAGGGUCUUAAAUAUAUACAUCAAUCAGGUAUAACAUUAUGACCACCUGCCUAAUAUUGUGUUGGUCUCUGAAUUAACUUUUUCAACAGUUUGAGCUACAGGAGUUCAUCUGUUGGAUUGGACCACACGGACCAGCCUUCGCUCCUGCUUACUGCAGACCAGGAACAGCCCACAACAACUGCAGUUUUGGAUAUGUGCUGAUCCAGACGUCUAGACGUCACAAUUUGGCCCUCGUCGAACUCGCUCAUAACCUUUUUCCUGCUUCUAACAUAUCAGUUUUGAGGACCAAAUGUUCACUGGCUGCUUAAUAUAUCCCACCCACUAACAGGUGCCAUGGCAAAGUGAUAGUGUUAUUCACUUCACCAGUCAUAAUGUUAUGACUG